rnacentral:rRNA from 1 species
UCGCUUUGGUGGGCGAUGUCCCGCGGUUUCUUGCGCGGGCACGCUACCGUGCGCGCAUGUCCGCGCGUCGUCGUCGUGCACUUUUCUCCUAAUAGAACGUUGCGACCCGCUGGGUGUCGGUCUACGGCCCUGGGUGGUGUCUGUCGCGUCGUCGGUAAAACGGCACGCGGCAAACCUUCGGACGCCCGGCCGGCUGUCUGGCGGCACUCGCACGGUAUCAGGCCGCAGUCUGACUGCGUCAAGCCCGUCGCAAGCGCGCGCCACGGUUACUCGGAAGCACGGACCCAGAGCCGUCCCUGGUCCUGGCCCGCUGUUGACCGACGGUGAUCCUUUGACAGGCCUUACGGGGCGACGCNNGGGGUUUUCCCCCGCGCGCCCGCCCUAAUAUCGGUCGGCGACGCUACUGUUUUGGGUACUCUUAGGACCCGUCUUGAAACA